UACGGAAGGCAGCAGUGGGGAAUAUUGCACAAUGGGCGAAAGCCUGAUGCAGCUAUGCCGCGUGUAUGAAGAAGGCCUUAGGGUUGUAAAGUACUUUCAUCGGGGAGGAAAAACAAAACUAAUAAUUUUAUUUCUUGACGUUACCCGAAAAAGAAGCACCGGCUAACUCCGUGCCAGCAGCCGCGGUAAUACGGAGGGUGCUAGCGUUAAUCAGAAUUACUGGGCGUAAAAGAGCACGUAGGUGGUUUUUUUAAGUCAGAUGUGAAAUCCCUGGGCUUAACCUAGGAACUGCAUUUUGAAACUGAAAUACUAGAGUAUCGUAGAGGGAGGUAGAAUUCUAGGUGUAGCGGUGAAAUGCGUAGAUAUCUGGAGGAAUACCUGUGGCGAAAAGCGGCCUCCUAAACGAAUACUGACACUGAGGUGCGAAAAGCGUGGGGAGCAAAACAGGGAUUAGAUACC
rnacentral:rRNA from 1 species